UCACAUAUUUUACGAGGAAAAAACCCUGCUUAAACUUCUCUAAAAUGACUUUGAAGAAAAAGACAAGAAGACGAACUUCGUUAAUUCGACGAGAACGUGUUCAUUCAACGCCGACUUUAAAGUCACACCUUGGAUGUAAAAUUCGACAAUCUCGAUAAAGUGGUCAUGAGGCGAUGGUAUGUGUCGACAGCAGUAAACUUAAAUCUUCAUAAGAUUUCAGAAGAAUCUAUAAUCACUGACGAUGAUUUACAUUGUAAUGCGUCCCUAGAGAGCAUUCAAAGAUGCGCUGAGUGGAUGUCUAUUGUAGAACGAGGAGCUACGAGUUGUGAAAUAACCUGAACUUCCACAAGAUUUGGAAAAGAACUAGAACCAUGCACGGUGACGUUUCGCGUUGAAAGGCGUUAUCAGAGAGCAUUUAACGUCAACAAAAUGCCGACAAAUGCUUCUGAAGGUCACAAGAUUUGUGCUGCUAAACCUCGAACAAUAAAUUCACCGAACCCUAAAGACGACAGAAGCGAAGAGGGACGGAUUAAAAAACAACCAUGACGUAAUCGGAUGUCCAGCAUCGGUCGAAAGAGGUUGUUGCGCUUGAGGACUUGUCACAAUAAUACUGCAUGAUAUCAAACACGGUAUUUCUGGAAAACGAAAUGAACAUUUUCAUUCGAAGGGGUCCCUGGUGGUACUCGUUGUAUCAAGCACCGUCACAAAGGAUCGUUUAUGGAUAUAAAGCGACGCCAUGCAGCCGGAUGAAAGAGGGAUCACCCUAG